UCCACUUGUCCUUUCAGCAAUCACCGUUAACCGGAAGGUAGCAAACUAGCAUUGCAACGCUAGAAAAGAAAGAACUCGCGUGGGGCCCACAACUUCCGCCACAAGCCAACCCCGAUUUCCCCUUCCGCCCCGCACCGCCUCGCCUCGCUCCGCUACCCCCACCGCCGCCGCGUAGGCAGCGGCGAUGGCGUCGUCGUCGCGGCCCCUGCUCCGCCGCCUCGCGGCUCUGGCCAGCGGCCGCGUCCGUGCCAACCACCGCUUGCUCUCCUCCUCCCCCGCCGCCGUCUCUGCCGAGCGGGCGUCGCGGUCGCCGGGGGAGCCGGAGGUCGUGCGCAUGACGGAGGGUUGCGUUCGGAGAUUAAAAGAAUUACAUGCUAAAGAACCAUCCGCUGAUGGUAAGAUGCUGCGGUUAAGCGUUGAAGCUGGUGGAUGUUCUGGGUUCCAAUAUUCUUUCUGUCUCGAUGACAAGAAAAAUUCAGAUGACAGGGUCUUUGAGACUGAUGGUGUUAAAUUAGUCGUGGAUGACAUCUCAUAUGACUUUGUGAAAGGUGCAACUGUGGAUUAUGAGGAAGAACUUAUACGUUCAGCAUUCGUGUUGCUACUCGUUUGAGACCUUUCAAAGUGAGGGGAAGAAUGAGAACAAAAAGAUUCGGGAGAAGGUGUGGAUUGAAGGUCUCAACAAAUCCUAGUGCUGUUGGGGGCUGCAGCUGCAAGAGUUCUUUUAUGGUCAAAUAGCUUCAACUUUAUUAUCUUGAAGAGAUGGGUAACUGGAAAUAGUGUUCUGUAGCAAAAUAUACCUUUUAGAUACUGGGUGUACAAUUGGUAUUUUUGGUAGUUCUGAAGAUGUUUCUUUCUGAAUUUUGUUAUUUGUUAAAAAUAUCAUCACAAACAUUCUGUUCCUAUAUGUAUCGCUCUAAUCUUGUGAUGACAAAUUUAUGUACAUGUGAUCCUCGGGCCUUUAACAUUGAUCUUGUUGCUUCUUCCAAAAUUCUAAAUAAGAACAGUCUUUUGUUGUACUGA